AGAGAGAGAGACACGCACACAGAGGGAGAGGACAGAGACAGGCAGCACCUGAAGCCCAAAGAAACAUGGCCUGAGUUCUUAUCAGUGCCUGCAGACAUGCAGUAGCAAAAUUCUGCUGCUACUGUUGCCACAGCAGCGAAAAGGUGAAAGAGGAGCAGCUACCAGAACCUCAAGCAAAGGACGAAGUUCCACAAGCAAGCGGAUGAUGCCGCCCGUCCAAAAUGGCAGAGCCGGCUGGGAAGUGCAACAUGCCCACGACGGCUCAGCCCGUGCGCACAUGAGGAUAAAAGACCGCACGGAGCCCGUCCGCCAGAAUGGGAUCCUGCGUUGCUGCUACCUGAAACCCCGAAGUUGCUGAACCCGUGAGGGGAAAGCCCUCUUGCAUCAUCACAGGCAUCCAUGAAGACACGUUCUCAAACUCCCCAUCGCGCGGAGAUGAACGUGUCCGAAACCUCCCUGCCUGUGGUACCCAUAGAGAUAGGCCUUUAAAAUGAUCCAUUGGAACAGAAAGGAAACACAUCGCAAUUAUUAAAAGAGGCUUUAUAUUGUU